UUCCGGUUGAUCCUGCCGGACCUGACUGCUAUCGGAUUGAUACUAAGCCAUGCGAGUCUUUGUAGUAAUACAAGGCAGACGGCUCAGUAACACGUAGUCAACCUACCCUAUGGACAAGAAUAAUCUCGGGAAACUGGGCAUAAUUCUUGAUAGAUCAUAAUGCCUGGAAUGGUUUAUGGUUAAAAUGAUUCGUCGCCAUAGGAUGGGACUGCGGCCUAUCAGCUUGUUGGUGAGGUAAUGGCCCACCAAGGCGAUUACAGGUACGGGCUCUGAGAGGAGAAGCCCGGAGAUGGGUACUGAGACACGGACCCAGGCCCUAUGGGGCGCAGCAGGCGAGAAAACUUUGCAAUGUGCGAAAGCACGACAAGGUUAAUCCGAGUGAUUUCUGCUAAAGAAAUCUUUUGCCAGUCAUAAAACCACUGGUGAAUAAGGGGUGGGCAAGUUCAGGUGUCAGCCGCCGCGGUAAAACCAGCACCUCAAGUGGUCAGGAUGAUUAUUGGGCCUAAAGCAUCCGUAGCCGGCUUUGUUAGUUUUCGGUUAAAUCCAUGUGCUCAACGCAUGGGCUGCCGAAAAUACUGCAUGGCUAGGGAGUGGGAGAGGUAGACGGUACUCAGUAGGAAGGGGUAAAAUCCUUUGAUCUAUUGAUGACCACCUGUGGCGAAGGCGGUCUACCAGAACACGUUCGACGGUGAGGGAUGAAAGCUGGGGGAGCAAACCGGAUUAGAUACCCGGGUAGUCCCAGCUGUAAACGAUGCAGACUCGAUGAUGCAUUGGCAUAAUAGCCAGUGCAGUGUCGCAGGGAAGCCGUUAAGUCUGCCACCUGGGAAGUACGUACGCAAGUAUGAAACUUAAAGGAAUUGGCGGGGGAGCACCACAAGGGGUGAAGCCUGCGGUUCAAUUGGAAUCAACGCCGGA
rnacentral:rRNA from 1 species